rnacentral:rRNA from 1 species
UGAGGAAUAUUGGUCAAUGGACGGAAGUCUGAACCAGCCAUGCCGCGUGAAGGAUUAAGGCGUUCUGCGUUGUAAACUUCUUUUAUCAGGGAAGAAAUCACUUAUUUUUAUGAGUGUUGACGGUACCUGAUGAAUAAGCACCGGCUAACUCCGUGCCAGCAGCCGCGGUAAUACGGAGGGUGCAAGCGUUAUCCGGAUUUACUGGGUUUAAAGGGUGUGUAGGCGGCUUUAUAAGUCAGGGGUGAAAUCUCCGGGCUCAACCCGGAAACUGCCUUUGAUACUAUAGAGCUUGAAUUAUGUUGAGGUUGGCGGAAUAUAACAUGUAGCGGUGAAAUGCAUAGAUAUGUUAUAGAACACCGAUUGCGAAGGCAGCUGACUAAGCAUAUAUUGACGCUGAGGCACGAAAGCGUGGGUAGCGAACAGGAUUAGAUACCCUGGUAGUCCACGCCCUAAACGAUGAUUACUCGUCAUACGAGAUACACUUUGUGUGACUAAGCGAAAGCGUUAAGUAAUCCACCUGGGAAGUACGUCCGCAAGGAUG